AAAAGGAUUUAAAAAUAAUGGUGAGUAAAAAUGUUCACUUACAGUAAGGUUCUUGCCAAAAUUUCCAUUUGUCUCUUAGCCUAAUUUCCUAAAGGAAUCGAUUUUUGUAUUCCCAGGAUCUAAACUAAAGCUGUUCUCAAUCCGGUGUUGAACGGGUGGUUGCUUCAAUUGGAUCGCUGCAGCUUCCAGGGAUUGUAGCAGUCUUCAAACCGUAGAUACGGACCCAAAUAUGGCGAUUUUUGUCCAGUAUUGGAAAGACCGAACUACCGCUGCGCCAGUUAUAGGACAACAACCAGCAUUUGCUUUUUUAAAAACAAAUAUUGAGAACAGGGACUAACUAACUUGAUUGAUAGAUAAUGACUACAUCGAUUACUAUAUUAAUUAUUAUUGCUCUUGUCUAUUACAUUAUAUUUAUAGGUUCUAAAAAUGAUGACAAUACAAACUAAGCUAUUUCUAAAUAAAGUAUGCAGGGUCGGCAUAAGGUGGCGGGUUGGUACCCGUAACUUAUGUCUUUAUUCGAGUUCAAAGAAAUAAAAAUAAGUUUCGCAA